rnacentral:rRNA from 1 species
AGAGUUUGAUCCUGGCUCAGGACGAACGCUGGCGGCGCGCCUAACACAUGCAAGUCGAACGAGAGAGAGGGAGCUUGCUUCCUCAAUCGAGUGGCGAACGGGUGAGUAACGCGUGAGGAACCUGCCUCAAAGAGGGGGACAACAGUUGGAAACGACUGCUAAUACCGCAUAAGCCCACGGCUCGGCAUCGAGCAGAGGGAAAAGGAGCAAUCCGCUUUGAGAUGGCCUCGCGUCCGAUUAGCUAGUUGGUGAGGUAAUGGCCCACCAAGGCGACGAUCGGUAGCCGGACUGAGAGGUUGAACGGCCACAUUGGGACUGAGACACGGCCCAGACUCCUACGGGAGGCAGCAGUGGGGAAUAUUGCACAAUGGGGGAAACCCUGAUGCGGCGACGCCGCGUGGAGGAAGAAGGUCUUCGGAUUGUAAACUCCUGUUGUUGAGGAAGAUAAUGACGGUACUCAACAAGGAAGUGACGGCUAACUACGUGCCAGCAGCCGCGGUAAAACGUAGGUCACAAGCGUUGUCCGGAAUUACUGGGUGUAAAGGGAGCGCAGGCGGGCGAUCAAGUUGGAAGUGAAAUCCAUGGGCUCAACCCAUGAACUGCUUUCAAAACUGAUUGUCUUGAGUAGUGCAGAGGUAGGCGGAAUUCCCGGUGUAGCGGUGGAAUGCGUAGAUAUCGGGAGGAACACCAGUGGCGAAGGCGGCCUACUGGGCACCAACUGACGCUGAGGCUCGAAAGUGUGGGUAGCAAACAGGAUUAGAUACCCUGGUAGUCCACACCGUAAACGAUGAUUACUAGGUGUUGGAGGAUUGACCCCUUCAGUGCCGCAGUUAACACAAUAAGUAAUCCACCUGGGGAGUACGACCGCGAGGUUGAAACUCAAAGGAAUUGACGGGGGCCCGCACAAGCAGUGGAGUAUGUGGUUUAAUUCGAAGCAACGCGAAGAACCUUACCAGGUCUUGACAUCCUUCUGACCGCACCUUAAUCGGUGCUUUCCUUCGGGACAGAAGAGACAGGUGGUGCAUGGUUGUCGUCAGCUCGUGUCGUGAGAUGUUGGGUUAAGUCCCGCAACGAGCGCAACCCCUAUCUUCAGUAGCCAGCAGGUAAGGCUGGGCACUCUGGAGAGACUGCCAGGGAUAACCUGGAGGAAGGUGGGGACGACGUCAAAUCAUCAUGCCCCUUAUGAUCUGGGCGACACACGUGCUACAAUGGCGGUCACAGAGUGAGGCGAACCCGCGAGGGGGAGCAAACCACAAAAAGGCCGUCCCAGUUCGGACUGUAGUCUGCAACCCGACUACACGAAGCUGGAAUCGCUAGUAAUCGCGAAUCAGAAUGUCGCGGUGAAUACGUUCCCGGGUCUUGUACACACCGCCCGUCACACCAUGGGAGUCGGAAAUGCCCGAAGCCAGUGACCCAACCUUUUGGAGGGAGCUGUCGAAGGUGGAGCCGGUAACUGGGGUGAAGUCGUAACAAGGUA